UUUCCGUAGGUGAACCUGCGGAAGGAUCAUUAUUGAAUUACCGUGGUUCGAGCGCUGUCUCUCACCCGAUUGGCCGUUUACCCAUCAGUGCUUCCACACACACCUCCCCCACCCCUACGUGCACCACCGCGAGGGUCCCUCUUUGGCUUGUUCGGCGGGGGGCCAACCUUUACAAUCUAACUUUGUAUGUACUUUAGAAUGUAUUUUUUGUUUAUGUAAAACCACAAUUAUUACAACUUUCCACAAUGGAUCUCUUGGCUCUCCCAACGCUGAAGAACG
rnacentral:misc_RNA from 1 species